rnacentral:lncRNA from 1 species
GCGUUUUCGCUCUCUCUCUUCAUCCUCGUCGUCCUCCUCCUCAUCCCGAGACUUGAGCACAGAUUGCGGAAUUGGGGGCCUGAACUGAACGACCCUUUUGGGUUUAGGGUGAGAAGAAGGUGGGUCUGUGAGGGUUUGUGAUUUGGAGGUUGGAGGUGGAAGAGAAGAAAAGAUGGAGGACUUAGGUUGAGGAAGAGAAGAGAAGAAGGGGGUUUUGGAGGCAGAAUCUGAGGCAUUGCUUGUAGAUUUUGAGGUGGGUUUAGGGAGAAAUAGGCCCUUUUGCUGUUGUUUUGCCUCUUGUU